GACGAACGCUGGCGGCGUGCUUAACACAUGCAAGUCGAACGAUGAAGCCGGAGCUUGCUCUGGUGAAUUAGUGGCGAACGGGUGAGUAACACGUGAGUAACCUGCCCUUGACUCUGGGAUAACUGCUAGAAAUGGUAGCUAAUACCGGAUACGACCCUCGGAGGCAUCUACAGGGGGUGGAAAGAAUUUCGGUCAAGGAUGGACUCGCGGCCUAGCAGCUAGUUGGUGAGGUGAUGGCUCACCAAGGCGACGACGGGAAGCCGGCCUGAGAGGGUGACCGGCCACACUGGGACUGAGACACGGCCCAGACUCCUACGGGAGGCAGCAGUGGGGAAUAUUGCACAAUGGGCGCAAGCCUGAUGCAGCAACGCCGCGUGAGGGAUGACGGCCUUCGGGUUGUAAACCUCUUUUAGUAGGGAAGAAGCGAAAGUGACGGUACCUGCAGAAAAAGCACCGGCUAACUACGUGCCAGCCGCCGCCGUAA
rnacentral:rRNA from 1 species